CAUUUCUCGAUAUGAAUUUUGCAUCAGCUUUUAUCGUGGCACUUGCUACCUUUUAUACAUUCGUCGAUUUCACGAUUGCCAACCCCAUACCUGAUCACAUAGAAGGAGAUAAAUUUAGUCCUUGGGGGCAGUACAUGAUUAAUAAGAAAUAAAACUCUACAAAU